UACGAAGGGGGCUAGCGUUGUUCGGAUUUACUGGGCGUAAAGCGCACGUAGGCGGAUCGUUAAGUCGGGGGUGAAAUCCUGGAGCUCAACUCCAGAACUGCCUUCGAUACUGGCGAUCUUGAGUCCGGAAGAGGUGAGUGGAACUCCUAGUGUAGAGGUGGAAUUCGUAGAGAUCCGGAAGAACACCGACGGCGAAGGCAGCGUCCUGGCCGAGCACUGACGCUCAGGCACGAAAGCGCGGGGAGCAAACAGG
rnacentral:rRNA from 1 species